rnacentral:rRNA from 1 species
UACAGAGGUCUCGAGCGUUGUUCGGAUUCAUUGGGCGUAAAGGGUGUGUAGGUGGCGCGCUAAGUCGGGUGUGAAAUUUCGGAGCUUAACUCCGAAACUGCAUUUGAUACUGGCGUGCUUGAGGACUGGAGAGGAGACUGGAAUUCAUGGUGUAGCAGUGAAAUGCGUAGAGAUCAUGAGGAAGACCAGUGGCGAAGGCGGGUCUCUGGACAGUUCCUGACACUGAGACACGAAGGCCAGGGGAGCAAACGGG